rnacentral:rRNA from 1 species
CCAGACUCCUACGGGAGGCAGCAGUGGGGAAUAUUGGGCAAUGGGCGCAAGCCUGACCCAGCAAUGCCGCGUGAAGGAAGAAGGCCUUCGGGUUGUAAACUUCUUUUAUCAGGGACGAAGGAUGUGACGGUACCUGAUGAAUAAGCUCCGGCUAACUACGUGCCAGCAGCCGCGGUAAUACGUAGGGAGCAAGCGUUAUCCGGAUUUAUUGGGUGUAAAGGGUGCGUAGACGGGAAGGCAAGUUGGUUGUGAAAUCCCUCGGCUUAACUGAGGAACUGCAACCAAAACUAUCUUUCUUGAGUGCUGGAGAGGAAAGUGGAAUUCCUAGUGUAGCGGUGAAAUGCGUAGAUAUUAGGAGGAACACCAGUGGCGAAGGCGACUUUCUGGACAGUAACUGACGUUGAGGCACGAAAGUGUGGGGAGCAAACAGGAUUAGAUACCCCAGUAC